AGAGUUUGAUCCUGGCUCAGGACGAACGCUGGCGGCGUGCCUAAUACAUGCAAGUCGAGCGAAUCUUUAGGAGCUUGCUCCUGAAGGUUAGCGGCGGACGGGUGAGUAACACGUGGGCAACCUGCCUGUAAGACUGGGAUAACUUCGGGAAACCGGAGCUAAUACCGGAUAAUCCUUUUCCUCUCAUGAGGAAAAGCUGAAAGUCGGUUUCGGCUGACACUUACAGAUGGGCCCGCGGCGCAUUAGCUAGUUGGUGAGGUAACGGCUCACCAAGGCAACGAUGCGUAGCCGACCUGAGAGGGUGAUCGGCCACACUGGGACUGAGACACGGCCCAGACUCCUACGGGAGGCAGCAGUAGGGAAUCUUCCGCAAUGGACGAAAGUCUGACGGAGCAACGCCGCGUGAGCGAUGAAGGCCUUCGGGUCGUAAAGCUCUGUUGUUAGGGAAGAACAAGUAUCGGAGUAACUGCCGGUACCUGAC
rnacentral:rRNA from 1 species